CCUACGGGUGGCAGCAGUGAGGAAUAUUGGUCAAUGGGCGCGAGCCUGAACCAGCCAAGUCGCGUGAAGGAUGACGGCCCUACGGGUUGUAAACUUCUUUUAUAAAGGAAUAAAGUGAGGCACGUGUGCCUUUCUGAAUGUACUUUAAGAAUAAGGAUCGGCUAACUCCGUGCCAGCAGCCGCGGUAAUACGGAGGAUCCGAGCGUUAUCCGGAUUUAUUGGGUUUAAAGGGUGCGUAGGCGGGCUGUUAAGUCAGCGGUAAAAUCGAGGGGCUAAACCCCUUCCCGCCGUUGAAACUGGCGGUCUUGAGUAGAAGAGAGGUAUGCGGAAUGCGUAGUGUAGCGGUGAAAUGCGUAGAUAGCACGCAGAACCCCGAUUGCGAAGGCAGCAUACCGGCUUCCAACUGACGCUGAGGCACGAAAGCGUGGGGAUCGAACAGGAUUAGAUACCCGAGUAGUC
rnacentral:rRNA from 1 species